UAAUACGGAGGGUGCAAGCGUUAAUCGGAAUUACUGGGCGUAAAGGGCGCGUAGGCGGCCUAUCAAGUCAGUUGUGAAAUCCCACGGCUCAACCGUGGAGGUGCAUCUGAAACUGAUAGGCUUGAGUAUGGGAGAGGAAAGUGGAAUUCCCGGUGUAGAGGUGAAAUUCGUAGAUAUCGGGAGGAACACCAGUGGCGAAGGCGACUUUCUGGACCAAUACUGACGCUGAGGCGCGAAAGCGUGGGGAGCAAACAGGAUUAGAUACCCUGGUAGUCCACAGCUGUAAACGAUGUCAACUAGGUGUUGGGGGUGUUGACCCCUCCAGCGCCGCAGCUAACGCAUUAAGUUGACCGCCUGGGGAGUACGGUCGCAAGAUUA
rnacentral:rRNA from 1 species